ensembl:lncRNA
CAGUUCGAUUCCUGGGUCAGGAAGGUCUGCUGGAGAAGGGAUAGACUACCCACUCCAGCAUUCUUGGGCUUCCCUUGUGGCUCAGCUGGUAAAGAAUCCGUUUGUCAUUGGGCAGGUAUUGCCACAUUACAGAGAAGAAGACUGAGGCUUGUACUGGGUAGCCAUCUUGGAUCCACUGCAUAAUGCUACUUGAAUCCAUCUCAAAGGGAUUGAAGCGAUGGAAGGUCUGGCCUGCAGACACUUAUCAGCCAAGAUCAUCUGCGUAUUAAAGACAGUUACCAGCCUUGCCCUCCUACCACUUCGUAUAGCUCAUUCUCAAGCUCUAGGCCUAUUUCAAGCCACUGUCCUUCAUCCCUCCCAAGAGACCAAAAGCCACUCACUCUUUGGGGCAGUUUGCAUCACCUACUGGAAGGCCCAAUGAUGCAAAGGAGGGAAGAUGUGUUUAUGAACCACGCUGAGAAUGCUGCAGUAUACACAACCCAAACACUGUCUUAUCUUCUUCCUGAAUGACUCAAAUGGUUGUUUGGUCUUUUGUGAACCCCAGAUCUUCCUC